rnacentral:rRNA from 1 species
UACGUAGGGAGCAAGCGUUGUCCGGAAUCAUUGGGCGUAAAGCGCGCGUAGGCGGCCCCGUAAGUCCGCUGUGAAAGUCAAAGGCUCAACCUUUGAAAGCCGGUGGAUACUGUGGGGCUAGAGUCCGGAAGAGGCGAGUGGAAUUCCUGGUGUAGCGGUGGAAUGCUCAGAUAUCAGGAGGAACACCAAUAGCGAAGGCAGCUCGCUGGGACGGUACUGACGCUAAGGCGCGAAGGCGUGGGGAGCGAACAGG